UACGAAGGGGACUAGCGUUGUUCGGAAUUACUGGGCGUAAAGCGCACGUAGGCGGCUCUGUAAGUCAGGGGUGAAAUCCCGGGGCUCAACCUCGGAACUGCCUUUGAUACUGCAAAUCUCGAGUCCGAUAGAGGUGGGUGGAAUUCCUAGUGUAGAGGUGAAAUUCGUAGAUAUUAGGAAGAACACCGGUGGCGAAGGCGGCCCACUGGAUCGGUACUGACGCUGAGGUGCGAAAGCGUGGGGAGCAAACAGG
rnacentral:rRNA from 1 species